ACCUAUAUUUUACAGAUGCCAACAUCUGUGCUUGAUGAAAUCCUCAAAGAGGUGGUGCUCCAGGAAGGAGAUAAUGUCUACCUGACAUUGGCUCUGGUGUGUACCACAUUCAUUGACAUUGUGUCCACCAAUUAUUUGAGAAGACGGGCACAUUUUCAGCGGCUUGACAGUAAGUUAUUUAAUAGCAGUGGUAUACAAUACUUAAGUACUGUGGUGUUUUGAAUAUCUCUAUGGAAAUGUGCUCUUUUGACUCACAAUUUUGUUACACAGGUGUUGCUACAUGGAGUUUUCUGCAACGUACAAAAAAGCUUUCUGCACCAUGUACACCAUUGACACCUGCCUUGGAUGUGGACGACUAUAUAAAAACUGCACACCAGGAUAUGUUGGGACGGGAAAAAGGGGAGCGCUAGAAGCAAUCUAUUCUGAAACUGAAGAUCCGGGAUACUGCAAUCACUUCUGCAGCCAAUUGUAAUAGGUGUCCCUCUUGCCUGUCCUCCAGCCCAUGCACGUCGAGAGGAGCAGACACCCGUUUGUGCCCAGAGGACAUUACUCACAUGUUGGACUUUUGAGAAUACUUUGCAAAAUCUCAUGACACUGUUAUUGUUGUAAAUAUAUAUAUAGUUAUAUGUCCUUAAGAUGUUCUUGUUAAUGUUUGUGUUGUUGUUUCUGCAUACAAGGUUGACCUGUACUUAGUUCGUUUCGAUUGAAUAUGCAUGUUAAGUAUUACCUUAGUUUGUUUCACUAGUCACUUUUGUUGUACAUAGUAACUUUAAAUUGUUAUCUUUUUUCCACAUUUGUAUAUAGUCACUGUUAGUACCUGGAAGCAGUAGGAGUGAGCUGCCUUUUCUUUUGACUUGUUUUCUCAUGUUUUUUCAUAGUUUAGGAUGUUAGUUUUAGUGAUGGUCUUUUUUAUUAUUUACUUUGACAUAGGGUUUAGGUAGCUUGAACUUCCCUUUAAAAUCUAGUUUGUUUUGUUUAAUUAUUUUGGCCUUGGUUCACUCCGAAGAGAAGCUUCAUUUUCAGUUUGGUGUAUUGUUUGUGUGCUAAGCAGCAAUAAACUGCUUGUCAUUUUGA